CGUUCUCACUCCUCCUGGUGGCUGUGGGAGGAUGGACUGGUGGUUUUGGAGGAAUCCAGAGAAAUGGCUGAAUCCCACCUCUGAGCUGGAGCAGAGAAGGGAAAAAAGAAGUCUGGUUGGUCUGAGAAUGAACCCCACAGUCCAGAGGCAGCAGUGAGCUCCUGGGAAUCUGGAUAAACUUGAGGAGGACACUGUUCAUUGUACUUUACGCCAACGUGGACUGGAGGAUACAACCCGUUUUAUUUCAGUCCCAGAGUGACCUCGGAUGACACGUGGGAGAGCGCUGUACAUUCAUGCAUAUAUAUACAUGUAUGUGAUUUGUAACAUGUAUAUUAUGUGGUUUAUAUAACAGAUGCAUGACAUAAACAUGUACCGGUAGAGACGUAGAGAAUUCUUUAUAAAAAGUGACAUAAUAUAAUGAAUCAAUAAAUC
rnacentral:lncRNA from 1 species